UACAGAGGUCUCAAGCGUUGUUCGGAUUCAUUGGGCGUAAAGGGUGCGUAGGCGGCGCGGUAAGUCGGGUGUGGAAUCUCGGGGCUUAACUCCGAAACUGCAUUCGAUACUGCCGUGCUUGAGGACUGGAGAGGAGACUGGAAUUUACGGUGUAGCGGUGAAAUGCGUAGAUAUCUGGAGGAACACCGGUGGCGAAGGCGGCAUCCUGGACCGGCAUUGACGCUGAGGCGCGAAAGCCAGGGGAGCAAACGGG
rnacentral:rRNA from 1 species